rnacentral:rRNA from 1 species
GCAUAUCAAUAAGCGGAGGAAAAGAAACCAACAGGGAUUGCCCCAGUAACGGCGAAGUGAAGCGGCAACAGCUCAAAUUUGAAAUCUGGCCCCAGGCCCGAGUUGUAAUUUGCAGAGGAUGCUUUUGGCGCGGUGCCUUCCGAGUUCCCUGGAACGGGACGCCAUAGAGGGUGAGAGCCCCGUACGGUUGGACACCAAGCCUUUGUAAAGCUCCUUCGACGAGUCGAGUAGUUUGGGAAUGCUGCUCUAAAUGGGAGGUACAUUUCUUCUAAAGCUAAAUAUUGGCCAGAGACCGAUAGCGCACAAGUAGAGUGAUCGAAAGAUGAAAAGCACUUUGAAAAGAGGGUUAAACAGCACGUGAAAUUGUUAAAAGGGAAGCGCUUGUGACCAGACUUGCGUCCGGUGAAUCACCCAGCUCUCGCGGCUGGGGCACUUCGCCGGCACAGGCCAGCAUCAGCUUGCCGUCGGGGACAAAAGCUUCAGGAACGUAGCUCCUCUCGGGGAGUGUUAUAGCCUGUUGUAUAAUACCCUUCGGCGGGCUGAGGUACGCGCUCCGCAAGGAUGCUGGCGUAAUGGUCAUCAGCGACCCGUCUUGAAACACGGACCAAGGAGUCAACCUUAUGUGCGAGUGUUUGGGUGUUAAACCCCUACGCGUAAUGAAAGUGAACGCAGGUGAGAGCUUCGGCGCAUCAUCGACCGAUCCUGAUGUUCUCGGAUGGAUUUGAGUAAGAGCAUAUAGGGUUGGACCCGAAAGAAGGUGAACUAUGCGUGUGUAGGGUGAAGCCAGAGGAAACUCUGGUGGAGGCUCGCAGCGGUUCUGACGUGCAAAUCGAUCGUCAAACAUGCGCAUGGGGGCGAAAGACUAAUCGAACCUUCUAGUAGCUGGUUUCCGCG